rnacentral:rRNA from 1 species
UACGUAGAGGGCAAGCGUUAUCCGGAUUUACUGGGUGUAAAGGGAGCGUAGACGGUGAUGCAAGUCAGAAGUGAAAGCCCGGGGCUCAACUCCGGGACUGCUUUUGAAACUGUGUGACUGGAGUGCAGGAGAGGUAAGCGGAAUUCCUGGUGUAGCGGUGAAAUGCGUAGAUAUCAGGAGGAACACCAGUGGCGAAGGCGGCUUACUGGACUGUGACUGACGUUGAGGCUCGAAAGCGUGGGGAGCAAACAGG